rnacentral:lncRNA from 1 species
UAAUUCCUUAGUGAUCAUAAUCGUCGUCGUCAAUUACUUUGUAAAUAGAAUAAAUAGCAGACUCAUACAUGGGAUCAAAGGUCGCAAAAGUUCAUACAUAUUGUCCAUACCACUGGAGUAUAUGAGUCAAAGAGUGAAACAGUCGAGUGAGAAAUAUGUAUGCGUUUGCGUCCAGUCUUUUUCAUUAGUUUUUUGCUUCCUUAAAUGGAA